ensembl:lncRNA
AGAGCCUGAAAUGCCAACUCCUGUUAACAUCCAAAGUGCUACUUUCAGAGGGAGAUGGUUCAAAAAACUUCUGUCGUCGCUUAAGGACUCUGACGUGUCAUAUCUUCCAACACAUUCCGUUGACAGAUAUUUAAUCAAUAUAUUUCAAAAGCUCAUCCUGCAGAAAUGUCCCUGCCAACAGCAUCUACAGAAUCCUUAUUUAAAUGAAAUUAUUUCUAUCUUCGCAUAUACACAUUGGUCUUCCAAUAAAAUGUAAUCACGAUAUAGUAGGGUUAUGGAAGUCUUGGAGUCAUUUCCAAAAAAAUAAAGUAAAAACUGUAAAUCAGUUUUAUUUAUUGAGACAGAUGAUGAACUGCCC